AGCCUUGAUUACAAACCAAUCGUG
rnacentral:siRNA from 1 species